CCUACGGGUGGCAGCAGUGGGGAAUAUUGCACAAUGGGGGGAACCCUGAUGCAGCGAUGCCGCGUGGGUGAAGAAGCACUCCGGUGCGUAAAGCCCUGUCAGCCGGGGAGAAAAUGACAGUACCUGACCAAGAAGCCCAGGCUAACUACGUUCCAGCAGCCGCGGUCAUACGUAGGGAGCAGCCGUUAUCCGGAUUUACUGGGUGUAAAGGGAACGCAGGCGGUAUGGCAAUGCAGAUGUGAAAAGCCAGGGCCCAACCCUGGGACCGCAUUUGAAACUGCCAUACUGGAGUGCCGGAGAGGUAAGUGGAAUUCCUAGUGUAGCGGUGAAAUGCGUAGAUAUUAGGAGGAACACCAGUGGCGAAGGCGGCUUACUGGACGGUAACUGACGCUGAGGCUCGAAAGCGUGGGGAGCAAACAGGAUUAGAUACCCCAGUAGUC
rnacentral:rRNA from 1 species